CGUGUAGGCGGCCAGGUAGGUCGGUUGUGAAAACUGGAGGCUCAACCUUCAGAGGUCGACCGAAACCAUCUGGCUAGAGUCCGGGAGAGGAGAGUGGAAUUCCUGGUGUAGCGGUGAAAUGCGCAGAUAUCAGGAAGAACACCCGUGGCGAAAGCGGCUCUCUGGAACGGUACUGACGCUGAGACGCGAAAGCGUGGGGAGCGAACA
rnacentral:rRNA from 1 species